CACAACCCUGGCAGUGAGGCUCAGAACGUGGCAGCUCCUCACACCCCAAGCAGGAGGGCAAUGAACACCCAAAGCAGUCCCUACCACCAACAUUGGUAGAGUUGACGUUCACAUCCCAUGUCCUCACCCAGGAAGGACACUGGGUUGGCAGUAGGUCUUCUGCAGUGAGCUACCUGUACUCUCCUUGCUUUGGCCAUGGGUGUAGCACAUGUGGUGGGAAGAAGCAUUUUGGCUGAAGGUGCUUUGGUCCUGGCAGAAGCCAGAGUUUCCAUGCAGUUUUGGAAAGUGCCUGUCCUGUGUUUCAAGGACCAGCCCUUCCCAUGGAGCAGAUCUGCUGCCACAAGGAACCAUACUGUAUCUUCCAUUAAAAAUUAAAAAAUAUUUCCUACCGAA